rnacentral:lncRNA from 1 species
GUGUGUGUGUGGUUUAGAAGACUAUUUCAAGAUUGGUAGAGUUUCGUCACCAUGUGAUUUGUCAUUACCGGAGGGGAGAUUAAUCGGAUUUGUGAUGUAUAAAAUCCAAUAUUUUGUGAAUGAUGUUUACGUGAUGGAAAUAUGUGAGAUUCAAAGUUUUGCAUUGUAUUGCAUUCCUUUUCUUUAAUGAUACAUAUGAAAGCAAUAGUAUUUAAGAUGUGUUUUGUGCUGGAAAAACAUUAUUUUUGUCGUGAAGAUGAAGAUAAAGCAUCACUAUCCUCUGGCAUUUAUAAAGGAUAAGAAAUCAGCGUGCUCAUUGUAUAUCAUAGAAAGUCAGUUUUGACUUAGGACAGUCGCAAAAUUGCGGCGGGGUUAAACAUGUUUUUUUGAGAUCUCAACCAUCUCCUUUACCUCUAGCCAAUGUAGAAAAACAAACGCACAACAAUACGCACAGUAAAAUUCAAUUAAAAAAAGUCCGAGUUCGAUCUCUGGAUAGGAAACAAAAGAAACUAAACAAAAUGACAAUAAUACAUUAAUUAACAAAGGACAACUAGCAGUUACUGACAUGUCAGACCACAAUUAAACUGAUUAAAAGAUCAUUUAUCAUAUGAAUAUCAGGCACAAUCCCUCCUGUUAGGAGUUUAGUAUAAUACCUUCAUGAAAUAUAUGAGACGAACAUAACUCGUGUCGUGCCAAAAACUGGUUUUAAAAUAAAUGUGUUUUAUUCCGAUGCAAAGACCC